rnacentral:rRNA from 1 species
AGCGAACGCUAGCGGCGGGCUUAACACAUGCAAGUCGAGCGCGUGGCUUCGGCCACGAGCGGCGAACGGGUGAGUAACACGUAGGUCAUCUGCCCUUUGGUGGGGAAUAACCCGAGGAAACUCGGGCUAAUACCGCAUACUGCCUUCGGGUCAAAGGCUUCGGCCGCCAGAGGAUGAGCCUGCGUCGCAUUACCUAGUUGGUGGGGUAAUGGCCCACCAAGGGGACGAUGCGUAGCUGGUCUGAGAGGAUGAUCAGCCACACUGGGACUGAGACACGGCCCAGACUCCUACGGGAGGCAGCAGUGGGGAAUUUUGGACAAUGGGCGAAAGCCUGAUCCAGCCAUGCCGCGUGCGGGAAGAAGGCCUCGGUUGUAACGACGUUUCAGCCGGAAGAAAUACGCCGUUUUAAUUACAGACGGUGGAUGACGGUACCGGAAGAAGAAGCACCGGCUAACUACGUGCCAGCAGCCGCGGUAAAGUAGUGACUGU